rnacentral:rRNA from 1 species
AACGAACGCUGGCGGCGUGGCUAAGACAUGCAAGUCGAACGAUACGUUGUAGCAAUAUGGCGUAUAGUGGCGGACGGGUGAGUAAUGAAUAGGUAACGUACCCCGGGCACAGGAAUAGCGUCGAACCCCGCAAGGGGUUCUUUGCGAAAGUGUACGGUAAUACCUGGUGACGUCAUUAAGGGGCAUCUCUUGAUGACCAUAGGGUGGGGACCUUCGGGCCUAUCGGCCUGGGAGCGGCCUAUUUCCAUCAGCUAGUUGGUGAGGUAACGGCUCACCAAGGCAACGACGGGUAACCGGACUGAGAGGUUGGCCGGUCACAUCGGGACUGAGACACUGCCCGGACAUCUACGGAUGGCUGCAGUAACGAAUAUUCCGCAAGUGGGCGCAAGCCUGACGGAGCGACGCCGCGUGGAGGACGAAUUCCUUGGAUGUAACUCCUUUAGGGAUCUGAAACAGAGCGCGCUAAUACCGCGCGAGUUGAU